rfam:Xenopus laevis strain J chromosome 9_10S, whole genome shotgun sequence.
UCUGAGGAAUGACGAAAAGAAAGGCCGAAUUACAGCACCUCCCUCGGCAGGUUUCUCUCUGUGCAGGAGGUGCAAUGACAAAACUCCUUGAAGCGAACUAUCAACUGACCUCCGC